CAUUUUAUCUCGAGGGCUUAUG
rnacentral:miRNA from 1 species